rnacentral:rRNA from 1 species
AACGAACGCUGGCGGUAUGCUUAACACAUGCAAGUCGAACGGAAAUAACUAGAGCUUGCUCUGGUUAUUUUAGUGGCAAACGGGUGAGUAACACGUGGGAAUCUACCUAUCAGUACGGAACAACAUUUGGAAACAGAUGCUAAUACCGUAUAUUCUCUAAGGAGAAAAGAUUUAUCGCUGAUAGAUGAGCCCGCGUAAGAUUAGGUAGUUGGUGGGGUAAUGGCCUACCAAGCCGACGAUCUUUAGCUGGUCUGAGAGGAUGAUCAGCCACACUGGGACUGAGACACGGCCCAG